UAAGGGAUAUUGCGCAAUGGGCGAAAGCCUGACGCAGCAACGCCGCGUGGAGGAUGAAGGCCUUCGGGUCGUAAACUCCUUUUGACGCUGACGAGGAAGGACGGUAGGCGUCGAAGAAGUCACGGCUAACUACGUGCCAGCAGCCGCGGUAAAACGUAGGUGGCGAGCGUUAUCCGGAUUUACUGGGCGUAAAGCGUGUGCAGGUGGACGGUUAAGUGGUGUAUGAAAUCUCCCAGCUCAACUGGGAUAGGUUAUGCCAGACUGGUCGUCUAGGGUAUGGGAGAGGGAUGUGGAAUUCCGGGUGUAGUGGUGAAAUGCGUAGAGAUCCGGAGGAACCCCAGAGGCGAAGGCGGCAUCCUGGCCCAUCACCGACACUCAGACACGACAGCAUGGGGAGCGAACGG
rnacentral:rRNA from 1 species